GAUGAACGCUGGCGGCGUGCCUAAUACAUGCAAGUCGAGCGAACGGACGAGAAGCUUGCUUCUCUGAUGUUAGCGGCGGACGGGUGAGUAACACGUGGAUAACCUACCUAUAAGACUGGGAUAAUUUCGGGAAACCGGAGUUAAUACCGGAUAAUAUUUUGAACCGCAUGGUUCAAAAGUGAAAGACGGUCUUGCUGUCACUUAUAGAUGGAUCCGCGCUGCAUUAGCUAGUUGGUAAGGUAACGGCUUACCAAGGCAACGAUGCAUAGCCGACCUGAGAGGGUGAUCGGCCACACUGGAACUGAGACACGGUCCAGACUCCUACGGGAGGCAGCAGUAGGGAAUCUUCCGCAAUGGGCGAAAGCCUGACGGAGCAACGCCGCGUGAGUGAUGAAGGUCUUCGGAUCGUAAAACUCUGUUAUUAGGGAAGAACAUAUGUGUAAGUAACUGUGCACAUCUUGACGGUACCUAAUCAGAAAGCCACGGCUAACUACGUG
rnacentral:rRNA from 1 species